CCUACGGGGUGUAGCAGUGGGGAAUCUUGCGCAAUGGGCGGAAGCCUGACGCAGCAACGCCGCGUGCGGGAUGAAGGCCUUCGGGUUGUAAACCGCUUUCAGUGGGGACGAAUUCAGACGGUACCCACAGAAAAAGCCCCGGCCAACUACGUGCCAGCAGCCGCGGUAACACGUAGGGGGCGAGCGUUGUCCGGAAUCAUUGGGCGUAAAGAGCUCGUAGGCGGCUCAGUAAGUCGGGUGUGAAACCCCUAGGCUCAACCUAGGGACGCCACUCGAUACUGCUGUGGCUAGAGUCCAGUAGGGGAGUGUGGAAUUCCCGGUGUAGCGGUGAAAUGCGCAGAUAUCGGGAGGAACACCAGCGGCGAAGGCGGCACUCUGGGCUGGAACUGACGCUGAGGAGCGAAAGCGUGGGUAGCAAACAGGAUUAGAUACCCGAGUAGUC
rnacentral:rRNA from 1 species